UUCAAACCCAUUGACCUGUCUGAGGCCAAGUUAAAGAAACAAGCUGGACUUGCUUGCAAAUUAGCUGAGCAAAAAAUAGACCUGAUUCAGCUUGCAGUCCACACAAUUAGGAGGUUUGAAUCAGACAAAGGGGUGGGGAGUGUUCUGAAAAGUUGGCCAACAAUUUGCUUGGACCUUAAAAAAAAAAGACUAAAAGCCAAAAUUUCAACUUCCUUCCAUUAGCAGGACUAAAACUGGGAAAUAAAUCAGAAAGAAGGUCAAAGAUUAGCAUGCGCUUCUAUGCUUUCCCUGGGCCUGACUUCCUGAAAACAGAGAAGCUAGGCACCUAGGUAGCACAGAAGAUAGUGUGCUGGGCCUGGAAUCAAGGAAACCUGACUUAAAAUCCAGCUUCAGAUACUCAGUAGCUGUGUUAACCUAUGGAAGUCACUCAACUUCUGCUUGCCUCAAUUUCCUCAUCUGUAAAAUGGGAACAAUACAGCACCUGCCUUCCAGGGCUGUCAGAGCAGCGUCCCUUCCUUUCACUUGGUUACCACAAGGCAGUCUACACUUUAACCAAAUGCUGAAGAAUGUUUGUAAGAAGUCCCUCAGCUGUUAGUAAGAAGCUUUUGUUUUUAUUUUCUGACUUGACGCCUAUAGACAGCAGCUUUCUGAAGGAUCUUGAAUGUUGUGGGUUUUUCAAUUUUUUUAAAUGAUCCCACAACCUUUGGUGGAGCACCUGAAUACUACAAUAAAUUGCCUAAAGGAGACGGGCA
rnacentral:lncRNA from 1 species